GCAAGUCGAGCGAGGAGAUCCUUCGGGAUGAUCCUAGACGGCGGACGGGUGAGUAACACGUGGGCAACCUGCCUCAUAGAGAGGAAUAGCCUUCCGAAAGGGAGAUUAAUACCUCAUAACAUUGCAGUUUCGCAUGGAACAGCAAUUAAAGGAGUAAUCCGCUAUGAGAUGGGCCCGCGGCGCAUUAGCUAGUUGGUGAGGUAAUGGCUCACCAAGGCGACGAUGCGUAGCCGACCUGAGAGGGUGAUCGGCCACAUUGGGACUGAGACACGGCCCAGACUCCUACGGGAGGCAGCAGUAGGGAAUCUUCCGCAAUGGACGAAAGUCUGACGGAGCAACGCCGCGUGAGUGAAGAAAAGGUUUUCGGAUCGUAAAACUCUGUUGUCAGAGAAGAACAAGUUGGAGAGUAACUGCUCCAGCCUUGACGGUAUCUGACCAGAAAGCCACGGCUAACUACGUGCCAGCAGCGGC
rnacentral:rRNA from 1 species